UCACCCACAGCUACCAUGACUUUGAUCCCCGUCUUCAUCUGGACACUGAUCCUCUGGACUCAAGAAUGCAGAGGUCAAGUCACAGUAACUCAGACUCCUGCAGUGAAAUCUGUUCUUCCAGGAGAAACAGUCACCAUCAACUGUAGAACCAGUCAGGCAGUGGAAACAGACUCAAAUGGCAAUCGUUUACACUGGUAUCAGCAGAAACCUGGAGAAGCUCCUAAACUCCUGAUUAAAUAUGUAAAUAAGCUAGAGUCAGGUGUUCCAGCUCGUUUCAGUGGCAGUGGAUCUGGAUCUGAUUUCACUCUGACCAUCAGUGGAGUCCAGACUGAAGAUGCAGGAGAUUACUACUGUCAGAGUUACCAUUACAUCAGUAGCAUUAACACGUUCACACAGAUGGAUCUGUCUACAUUCUCUGUGUCUAUCAGUGUCUUGACCCCAUUAGAAGAAAAAUUAUUAGAAAAAAUCCUGUCCUAUUUUAUUAGGGAAAAAAAGCUAGAUGUGUCAUUCUGAUCAAGGUUGUUAUUUUCUUUACAAACAGAGAAAUCUGUUUAUUCUGUCAUGUAUUCAGUAUUUGUUAACUGUUUUAAUAGUUUAAAGUAAAAUCUGACAAAUCAGAGAAAUAAGAAGUGAAAGUGAUCCUCACACACACACACACACACACACACACACACACACACACACACAUUUGCAUGAACAGCUCUGAGACUCAGAAUAGAUCACCACUUUCAGCA